rnacentral:rRNA from 1 species
AAAGUCUAAUCUGCCCUAUGAUUUAUUGUAUUAAAUGGCCGCGAUAUUUUGAUCGUGCUAAGGUAGCAUAAUAAUUAGUUUUUUAAUUGAGAACUGGAAUGAAUGAUUGGACGAGAAAAAGGCUGUCUCAAUUUAAUUUAAUUAGAAUUUUAUUUUUAAGUAAAAAAGCUUAAAUGGAUUUAAAAGACGAGAAGACCCUAUAGAGUUUAAUAUAAAAUAUAUUUUUAAUAAUAAAGUAUUUUAAGUUUAUAAUUAUAUUUUAUAUUUAGUUGGGGUGACUAAAAAAUUGAAUUAACUUUUUUUAAUAAAUAGAACAUUGAUAUAUGAUUAAGUGAUCCA